CCUACGGGAGGCAGCAGUGGGGAAUAUUGCACAAUGGGCGGAAGCCUGAUGCAGCGACGUCGCGUGAGGGAUGACGGCCUUCGGGUUGUAAACCUCUUUCAGCAGGGACGAAGCGAGAGUGACGGUACCUGCAGAAGAAGCGCCGGCCAACUACGUGCCAGCAGCCGCGGUAAGACGUAGGGCGCGAGCGUUGUCCGGAUUUAUUGGGCGUAAAGAGCUCGUAGGCGGCUUGUCGCGUCGACUGUGAAAACCCGCGGCUCAACUGCGGGCCUGCAGCCGAUACGGGCAGGCUAGAGUUCGGUAGGGGAGACUGGAAUUCCUGGUGUAGCGGUGAAAUGCGCAGAUAUCAGGAGGAACACCGGUGGCGAAGGCGGGUCUCUGGGCCGAUACUGACGCUGAGGGGCGAAAGCGUGGGGAGCGAACAGGAUUAGAUACCCUGGUAGUCCACGCUGUAAACGUUGGGCGCUAGGUGUGGGGGACCUCUCCGGUUCUCUGUGCCGCAGCUAACGCAUUAAGCGCCCCGCCUCGGGGAGUACGGCCGCAAGGCUAAAACUCAAAGGAAUUGACGG
rnacentral:rRNA from 1 species